CAUCCUUUAAAGGGAAAGUCUAUGUGUUUGAAUGUUACAGCAAUUUGAGAUUGAUUGUUUACUUGCAGAGGAGUUAGGCUCGUGAUCCCAGGCGGGAUGUUAAGGCCCAGACGGUCAUGACAACCAGAGAUUUAUAAUUAUGGAGGAGACCGAGGAAAAGAAGAGAAGAAUACGUAUAGAGGAAAAGCUGAAGAGAUAUGAGAAAAUAGAUUUUUUGGGAGAAGGACAGUUUGCAACUGUGUACAAAGCCCUGGAUGUAGAAACAAAGCAAAUUGUUGCAGUGAAAAAGGUAAGCAAAUAUUUUAUAGAUGUUAAUACAAAUUUUACAGUAUAAUGUUUAAAUUAAUACAAAAAUAUUUUUUAUUUCGUAAAUUUCUCGAGAAUAAAAAAGCAUUUAGAUGAUUAUAUCAUGUAUGAGGCUUUAUUAUUUAUUAGCUAUAGCAAAAGAAGAAUGAAAUUUAAUCAGUUGAAACAUACCAGUACUUAGUUAAAAGUAUUCCAAGCACAGUAUAUUGUAGUACUGUACUGUACUGUACUGUAGGGAUCUAGGAAGGAGGUAUCUAGGUAUCUACUGAACAGUUUUGUGUACUGUAUCUACUUAAAACUUUCAAGAAUUUCUUAUAAUGAUGAAGGAAGAUCUCUAUUUUUAUUGGCCCAUUUACCCUGGAGCUAGACUGUAGAACUACAGUAAUUUUAUAAAUGGUUGAGGAUAUGAGGGAAGACCCUGAAUGUGUCACAGUAUACAAAAGAAUAAGUGUAACUGUACCAAAACUUCUUAAGACUUACCUUGAUGCUUAGGGAUUCUCCCAGCAUUCUUGACUGCAAAUAAUACAAAGCAACAUCUUUCGUUUGAAGUUUUCUGUUC